AACGAACGCUGGCGGCAUGCCUAACACAUGCAAGUCGAACGAGACCUUCGGGUCUAGUGGCGCACGGGUGCGUAACGCGUGGGAACCUGCCCUUAGGUUCGGAAUAACUCCCCGAAAGGGGUGCUAAUACCGGAUAAUGUCUUCGGACCAAAGAUUUAUCGCCUUUGGAUGGGCCCGCGUUGGAUUAGCUAGUUGGUAGGGUAAAAGCCUAUCAAGGCGACGAUCCAUAGCUGGUCUGAGAGGAUGAUCAGCCACACUGGGACUGAGACACGGCCCAGACUCCUAUGGGAGGCAGCAGUGGGGAAUAUUGGACAAUGGGCGAAAGCCUGAUCAAGCAAUGCCGCGUGAGUGAUGAAGGCCUUAGGGUUGUAAAGCUCUUUUACCCGGGAUGAUAAUGACAGUACCGGGAGAAUAAGCUCCGGCUAACUACGUG
rnacentral:rRNA from 1 species